rnacentral:rRNA from 1 species
AGAGUUUGAUCCUGGCUCAGGAUGAACGCUGGCGGCGUGCCUAAUACAUGCAAGUCGAACGGAGCAGCAAUGCUUAGUGGCGACCGGGUGAGUAACACGUAGCUAACCUACCCCUCAGCGGGGGAUAACAGGCCGAAAGGCGUGCUAAUACCGCAUGACUUCACAGGGCUCAGAUAACUGUGAAGAAACUCACGGGGCUG